rnacentral:rRNA from 1 species
AGAACGAACGCUGGCGGCGUGGAUAAGACAUGCAAGUCGAACGGGACAGUUUGGUAGCAAUAUUAAAUUGUUCAGUGGCGAACGGGUGCGUAACACGUGGACAACAUUCCGGAAAGUGGGGAAUAGCCCAGGGAAACUUGGAUUAAUGCCCCAUGUGGUCGAAAGACUAAAGGCGCAAGCCGCUUUCCGAUUGGUCCGCGGCCUAUCAGCUAGUUGGCGGGGUAAUGGCCCACCAAGGCUACGACGGGUAGCUGGUCUUAGAGGACGACCAGCCACACUGGAACUGAGACACGGUCCAGACACCUACGGGUGGCAGCAGUCGAGAAUCUUUCACAAUGGGGGCAACCCUGAUGGAGCGACGCCGCGUGGAGGAUAAGGUCUUCGGAUUGUAAACUCCUGUCAUGCGAGAACAAAGCCUGCAAAGGUCUGAUAGUAUCGCAAGAGGAAGAGACGGCUAACUCUGCGCCAGCAGCCGCGGU